rnacentral:rRNA from 1 species
AGUCGAACGGGCGUAGCAAUACGUCGGUGGCAGACGGGUGAGUAACGCGUGGGAACGURCCUUUUGGUUCGGAACAACACAGGGAAACUUGUGCUAAUACCGGAUAAGCCCUUACGGGGAAAGAUUUAUCGCCGAAAGAUCGGCCCGCGUCUGAUUAGCUAGUUGGUGAGGUAACGGCUCACCAAGGCGACGAUCAGUAGCUGGUCUGAGAGGAUGAUCAGCCACAUUGGGACUGAGACACGGCCCAAACUCCUACGGGAGGCAGCAGUGGGGAAUAUUGGACAAUGGGCGCAAGCCUGAUCCAGCCAUGCCGCGUGAGUGAUGAAGGCCCUAGGGUUGUAAAGCUCUUUUGUGCGGGAAGAUAAUGACGGUACCGCAAGAAUAAGCCCCGGCUAACUUCGUGCCAGCAGCCGCGGUAAUACGAAGGGGGCUAGCGUUGCUCGGAAUCACUGGGCGUAAAGGGUGCGUAGGCGGGUCUUUAAGUCAGAGGUGAAAUCCUGGAGCUCAACUCCAGAACUGCCUUUGAUACUGAAGAUCUUGAGUUCGGGAGAGGUGAGUGGAACUGCGAGUGUAGAGGUGAAAUUCGUAGAUAUUCGCAAGAACACCAGUGGCGAAGGCGGCUCACUGGCCCGAUACUGACGCUGAGGCACGAAAGCGUGGGGAGCAAACAGGAUUAGAUACCCUGGUAGUCCACGCCGUAACCGAUGAAUGCCAGCCGUUGGAAAGUUUACUUUUCAGUGGCGCAGCUAACGCUUUAAGCAUUCCGCCUGGG